GGUGAGGGCUCCAGUAUGGCAGGCUGCAGGUCCCGAGCCCUGCCCCCUUGCCCCGCGGGGAGGUGGCUGAGGCCCAGCGAAAAUUCGAGCGCGGCGCCGGCGGGCCAUCACUGUUGGAGGACCCAGUGCACCCUCCGCAGCUGCUGGCCCGGGUGCUAAGCCUCUCACUGCCCAGGGCCGGCGGCGCCAGCCGACCGCUCAAGAGUGCGGGGCGCGCCGAGCCCGCGCCCACCCGGAAGUUGCGCCGAGCCCGCGCCCACCCGGAAGUCGCGCCGAGCCCGCGCCCACCCGGAAGUCGCGCUGGACCGGCGAGCCCCGCAGGCAGCCCAGGUUCCGGCCCGCGCCUCUCCCUCCACACCUCCCCGCCAGCAGAGGGAGCCCGCUCAGGCCUCAGCCAGCACAGAGAGGGGCUCCCACGGUGCAGCUGCGGGCUGAAGGGCUCCUCAAGCGCGGCCAGAGUGGGCUGAGGCCGAGGAGGUGCCGAGAGCCAGCGAGGGAUGCCAGCAAGCUGUCACCUCUCAGAAAUACAGGAAGAACAUCAAUAAUGUUCGAAGUUAUAAAGUAGCUGGAAUGCACUUGGAUGCCAGAGAUUUUGAUUUCUUCAUGUGAAAUAAGUUGCGGAGGUCAGAGGUCAGAAAACAAGGUGUCUGCAGGACCAACCUCUCCUCUGGAUGCUCUAGGAAACGAGUAGAAUUAAGUGAAUUGAUUAUCAUAUCUAACCUGUAAGUACAAAUUACUUUCCCUUGGAAUUACAUAAUUGAUAAUUGUACAUCCUCAGAUGUGUUUGAAUCUGAGAUUUACUCUAAACUCAGAGGAAAAAAAGUGAAAUUUUGUUUCCAUUGUGACACCUUUG
rnacentral:lncRNA from 1 species